UUAAUAGCUCUAUGUUCAUAGGGAUUCUAUCUAUAGGCAUACUUAAUCGUACUUGCGUAAAUCAUUUCAUUCAAUAACAACAUAACAUAGCUAUUAACAUUUACUCACUUUGCUAUUACGAUAAUUCUCACUUUUUGUAAACAUUAACUCAAAACCUGGAAUAGCUUACCAUUCUGCUUCGUUGAGUGUGAUGCGAUGAAGUGCUGAGCUUUGUCGAUUGAACUCUAGACACUUUAGUAAUUCAUUCUAAGUUUGGCUUAAAUAAACUCUUAGGCUCAGAGCAAAUGAACUGCUCUGAUACCACUCUGUCACGACCGGCCUUAAUUAGGGAUAAUUAAGUCGGGAAACCAUGACUGGGGAAGGGAAAUUAAGAAGCGGUUUAGAAAGGGGUGCAUAAAAGAAUACUCAAAGAGCUUGAAUACGCGUGAAAUAUUCCUUAAAAAGGAAAAAGGCAUAGUUCGCAAUAAAAGGGUACUCAAAGAACUUGUAUACGCGUUAUAUUCCUUAAAAGGAAAAAGGCAUUUUUAGGGGCUUGGCUAAAACAUUAUCAGAGUUUGCAACGGAAGGCGUAACUGAAAUAAUCAGUGUUUACAGCGGAAAGCAUAACUGUGAUACAUGUAUGAAGACAUGUAUCCUUUCUGAGCCUACUUUAAGUUCGACAAAAACUCCACUCAGCAACAACACUUCAUCGCCCAUCACAGCUCAACCUGCA
rnacentral:lncRNA from 1 species